UGUACGCCUUUGCCUCUUGGAGUAUUAACUAUCUUUAUUUAUCCGUUUUUACUAGUUGUUAUAGGUUGACUAAGUAUCCUGAUGGUUGGAGCAUAUUUAGGAAUUGGUAGUUGUUAGCUUCAGUUAGUUGUAGAUAGUGGCCUGCACUUUAGGUCCAGUUAGUUGUAUAUUUUGUAAUUAAAGGCUUGCUUCCAGAUUUAAUACUAUUAUCUUUUUGACCUUCUCAUCUGAAUCUUCAUAUGGUAUCAAAGCGAGAACGAACCUCCUGCAAGUAUUCUGCAAUGGUUUUAGAAGUCUGCUUGGUAUUUUGCAAUUGAUCUCGCAAGCUAAGAUACAAGUAUGACUUUUGUUGGCGUAAGCUGUGUGAAGGAAUUCCCACACUUUGUUAGCAGAUGGUGCUGCGGCAACAGUUGGUGCAAUAGUAGGAUCGACCGACACCAUCAUUGCUUGUUGGAUCAAUUAAUCUUGAGAGAACCAAAUCUAAUAAUUGGGAUUUGGUACAGUAAGAUUAUUUUGGGUACUAGUAGGGGAUGGAGCUGUUGUGGUUCCAUCAAGAUGUCCUAUGAGUUGAUGCCCAUUUAGUAGCAUCACAAGUUGUGCUUUCCAUGUUGAAAAAUUGAGGUUAACUUGUAUCUUGAGAGGUAACUGAGCAAUGGGAUUAAAUUCCACCACAUGAGUAGUGGCAGAAACUGCAGAACUGACUGGAGCCAUAGAUGAGAAACCUUUAAAAGAAUGAGAUGGAUCUAACUCAGUGGAGCUUAUGUUGCUCUGAUACCAUAUGAAGAUUCAUAUGAGAAGGUCAAAAAGAUUCAACUUGAUGUCAAUAAUGCUUUCCUACACGGAAAAUUGGAUGAAGAAGUUUUUAUGUCUCAACCCCGAGGCUUUAUUAAUCCCCAAUUUCCAACUCAUGUCUGCAAACUGAAGAAGGCUAUCUAUGGCCUCAAACAAGCCCACCGAGCUUGGUAUAAUUCUCUGCGUGAACAUCUGCUGAAAAUGCACUUUGUCAGAACAGAAUCUGACACCUCUUUAUUUGUAUGGAAGCAUCUGGAUGUAACCAUUUAUGUGUUUGUCUACGUUGAUGACAUCAUAAUCUCUGGAGACCGUCCACAAGUGACUAAAUUCGUCAUCAAUUCCUUGGCAAAAAGAUUUUCAUUGAAGGAUCUUGGAUAUCUAAACUACUUCUUGGGUGUUGAUGUUAAGCAAGUACCAGAUGGCCUCAUUCUUUCUCAAUAAAAAUACAUACUGGAAGUUCUUUCUGAACUGGACAUGGACAAUUGUAAAGGUGUUUCCACUCCCAUGUGUUCCAGUGUACAACUUUGAGUAGCUGAUGCUUGGCCACCUACGGAUGCUACGCGCUAUAGGCGCACCCUUAGAAAAUUGCAGUACUUGUCCCUCACUCGGCCUGACAUAUCUUAUGCAGCCAAUAAAUUGUCGCAGUUUAUGCAUACUCCUGGAAAGCAGUUAAAAGAGUACUACGGUAUCUCCAUGGAAUUGCAAGCUCGGGACUUCACCUCGUUCGUAGCUCUAACUCCAAUUUGUAUACGUAUGCUGAUGCUGACUGGGCUGGCGAUCCGAAUGACAGAAUCUCUACAUCAGGUUACAUACUUUUCUUUGGACCAAAUCCAGUUAGUUGGUCAUCAAGAAAGCAACGUGCAGUGGCUCGCUCGUCUACUUAGACAGAGUACGAAUCAGUCGCCAAUGCACUUGCAGAGAUCACAUGGGUGCGAAACUUACUUCAUGAAUUACAUGUCACCAUCUCGAAGACAUCAACAAUCUACUAUGACUAUGUCCAGUGUUCCAUACCCAUAUGAAACACGUUGCUGUAGAUUUUCCAUAUGUUCGUGACCAGGUUCAAGCUCAUCGAGUUCAUGUUACUCAUACUCAUGCUUGUGAUCAACUUGUUGAUACCUUCACCAAGCCACUGCCUAAAUCAGCCUUUACUAGGUGUCGUUCCAAGUUAGCCAUUGUUGCACCUUGCCUAACUUGAGGGGGUGUAUUAACUAUUUUUAUUUUUAUCUGUUGUUACUAGUUGUUAUUAUAGGUUGACUAAGUCUCCUGAUGGUUGGAGCAUAUUUAGGAAUAGGUAGUUGUUAGCUUCAGUUAUUUGUAGAUAAUGUGCAGCUAGUGGCCUGCACUUUAGGUCCAGUUAGCUGUAUAUUUUGUAUUUAAAGGCUUGCUGCCAGAUUUAAUACAAUUAGCUUUUUGACCUUCCCAUCUGAAUCUUCAUAUGGAGCACAUCAGAGACGACGUUCUUCUGAGUCCGGGGGAAGUGACUCAUUGGGUGAAUCUGAUGCUCCUAAAACAAAAUUAAAACCACUCUUUUGAGACAAGUUUCUUGCUAACCCUGACCACUCUUUGGUUUGGCAUGAAAUAAAAGCCGGCUCGUUCCAGUUUAAUGAGGAGAUGAUGGAUUCUUUGUUUGGAUACAUACCAGGAGACCAAGGGAAAGAUGAUCGAAGAAAAGCUUCCUCAUUCUUUGACCAAACAUCACAGUGUAUUCAGAUUAUUGAUCAUAAGAAAUCACAAAAUCUAGCAAUUCUUCUCAAAGCCUCAAAUGUGACAACAGAGAAGAAGUUUAUGAUGCUCUCGAAGAAGAUGUUCUAACCAAUCCCAAGGAAAACAUUAUCGUUGCACGAUGACAAAAAAUCCCUCAUUUUCAUGUACCUUGCCACACAGAAUCGAUCUUAUCUGCUAUUUAAUAUUAAGUCGUGAAAAGUUUGACGUCAAUUGGUAAUGAGCUGCCUCGUGAACUGAUGCGAACUCUCUUAAAGAUGGCACCACCAACGGAUGAAGAACUAAAACUCAGAUGAUUUGGAGACAUUUCUCAGCUUGGUCCUGCUGAACGUUUUCUUAAGUCCAUGGUUGCAAUUCCAUUUGCAUAACGGAUGGAAGCAUUGCUGCUCAUGUGUUCUCUUCAGGAAGAAGUUUCAUCCAUUAAAGAGUCCUUCGCAACCUUAGAGGUCUCUUGCCGCCUCUUUGCUGCUGGUUUCGAGGGGGCAACCACUUCUACAGAAACUUAAGGAAGAAGAGAAACAAGCUGUUGUGAAAGAGGUGGUUAAGGAGGAUAUAGUUAUGGGUGAUCAACAGGAUUUCCAGUCGAAAUAUCCACGUUUGGCUGCAUCAUUUGAAAGUAUGGCUGGCAUGUCUACAAUGUAUCCGAAUGGAACAAGUUUUUUGAAGGAGAAGAUGAGUUUGAUUGCUACUGACACGGCUAAAGUGCUGGAGAAGAAGUGGAAGAAACUGGAGGACGACGAAGCUGCCUUGAUGGUGAAGCGCUUAGAUUUGAUUGCGGAGCAUUACAAAUUGGUGGUUGAUGCAAUGAGAGGUAACUAGAUGCUGAUGGAUCAUGUUCUAUUCAAUGCUACAAGUUCUGAUACUGUUUCAGUGGAGUUUUAGAUUUGUUUCAUGUAGUCUUGUUUCUCAAGACAAUUUCUUCUUGCGUUGAUGCGCUUAUGUUUAGUCCGCGAGGUAGAUUUAGUUUAUCCGGUUGAUUCAUACAUUUUAUUGCUUAUUUAAUUUUACUAGUGAACUUGUUUGGAUGAUUUCCGCUGUUUUUCUUCUUUUAUAUGUAGCAAGCUUAUUAGGAACAGCUGAAGUGGAAUGUCUGGAGACGUUCUGGUUCAUCCUUUGUAAUAUGUCAUUUCCUAUUCGAGAUGGAAAUAUAUUUAAAUGUGAUCUUUCUCAGUUUUUG